rnacentral:rRNA from 1 species
AAUCAACGCUGGCGGCGUGCCUAACACAUGCAAGUCGAACGAGAAAGAGGCUUCGGCUCCGGGUAAAGUGGCGGACGGGUGAGUAACACGUGGGUGAUCUGCCCUCCAGUGGGGGAUAACAUACCGAAAGGUGUGCUAAUACCGCAUGGAGUUCCGGUUGUCGCGAUCGGAAUGAAAGCAGCAAUGCGCUGGAGGAGGAGCCCGCGUCGGAUUAGCUAGUUGGUGGGGUAACGGCCCACCAAGGCUACGAUCCGUAGCCGGCCUGAGAGGGUGACCGGCCACACUGGAACUGAGACACGGUCCAGACUCCUACGGGAGGCAGCAGUGGGGAAUUUUGCGCAAUGGGGGAAACCCUGACGCAGCAACGCCGCGUGGACGAUGAAGGCCUUUGGGUCGUAAAGUCCUGUCAGCAGGGAAAAACACAAUGAUGGUACCUGCAGAGGAAGCUCCGGCUAACUUCGUGCCAGCAGCCGCCGUAACAC